rnacentral:rRNA from 1 species
AACGAACGCUGGCGGCAGGCUUAACACAUGCAAGUCGAACGCAUCCUUCGGGGUGAGUGGCAGACGGGUGAGUAACGCGUGGGAACGUGCCCUUCAGUUCGGGAUAACCCAGGGAAACUUGGGCUAAUACCGGAUACGUGCGAGAGCAGAAAGAUUUAUCGCUGAAGGAUCGGCCCGCGUCUGAUUAGCUAGUUGGUGGGGUAAUGGCACACCAAGGCGACGAUCAGUAGCUGGGCUGAGAGGAUGAUCAGCCGCAUUGGGACUGAGACACGGCCCAAACGCCUACGGGAGGCAGCAGUGGGGAAUAUUGGACAAUGGGCGCAAGCCUGAUCCAGCCAUGCCGCGUGAGUGAUGAAGGCCUUAGGGUUGUAAAGCUCUUUCGUCCGGGACGAUAAUGACGGUACCGGAGGAAGAAGCCCCGGCUAACUUCGUGCCAGCCGCCGCGGUAA